rnacentral:rRNA from 1 species
UACGUAGGGUGCAAGCGUUAAUCGGAAUUACUGGGCGUAAAGCGUGCGCAGGCAGCUUUGUAAGUCAGAUGUGAAAUCCCCGGGCUUAACCUGGGAACUGCGUUUGAAACUACAAGGCUAGAGUGUGACAGAGGGGGGUGGAAUUCCACGUGUAGCAGUGAAAUGCGUAGAGAUGUGGAGGAACACCGAUGGCGAAGGCAGCCCCCUGGGUUAACACUGACGCUCAGGCACGAAAGCGUGGGGAGCAAACAGG